rnacentral:rRNA from 1 species
UACGUAGGCAGCAAGCGUUGUUCGGAGUUACUGGGCGUAAAGAGUGCGUAGGUGGUGCCCUAAGUCUGCUGUGAAAUCUCCCGGCUUAACUGGGAGGGUGCGGUGGAAACUGGGGUGCUUGAGUGUGGGAGAGGUAAGCGGAAUUCCUGGUGUAGCGGUGAAAUGCGUAGAUAUCUGGAGGAACACCGGUGGCGAAGGCGGCAUCCUGGACCGGCAUUGACGCUGAGGAGCGAAAGCCAGGGGAGCAAACGGG